GGCUCCGGCGCCUCGGCCAUUUCCUCGCUCGGCGGCGGCCGGGACUGAACUGACACCACACGAGCGAGCCGAGAUGCUGCCUGCCACACACAGCCUUCUCAGAUCUCAUAACAAAACAAA